rnacentral:rRNA from 1 species
UGGGCAACCUGCCCCUCUCUCUGGGAUAACCCCGGGAAACCGGAGCUAAUACCGGAUACUCCGGCUGGAUCGCAUGGACCGGCCGGGAAAGGUCCGCCGGAGAGGGAUGGGCCCGCGGCCUAUCAGCUUGUUGGUGGGGUCAUGGCUCACCAAGGCGACGACGGGUAGCUGGUCUGAGAGGACGACCAGCCCACACUGGAACUGAGAUACGGUCCAGACCUCCUACGGGAGGCA